rnacentral:lncRNA from 1 species
AAAUAAUUAAGUUUGUCUAUUUGCAGCACUGACUUCUUUUAUGAAUUGUCAAAUGUAAAUUAUCUUUAAACCAAAUGAAUCUUUAAACCAAAAAGAGAAAAUCAAAAAGAGAGAGACUGCCGAAAAAUUUCAAUUCAUUCCUUAUUAUUAUUCAAUUUAUAGAAUUCAGACACGAUGGCACAAGCUCAGGGGAAUAGGGCAGGAAGAGUGACAUUACCUUCCUUUUCUGGUGAAUUUGGUCCUCAAAUUCAAAUCUUUUUUGUUCAGUUUCAGAUAGUUGCUGACUUCCUUCGUUGGGGGCCUGAAAAACGGUUAUGCCGUGCCAUCGCCAGUCUAUCGGGUUACGCCCAAGACUUUGCAUCUUCAGCCAUUCAACACGGGCGGAUAAAUACCUAUCUGUAGUUCAAGCAAGUGUUAACGUGGUGGUUUGACCCUGAGUUGCCACCGGAGUUAGUCUCUCCGAUUUUUCCGUGUUUCCAGCAGGUAGGAGAGUCCGUAGAAAGUUUUGCUAGGCGCUUGCUAGCACUUAUUGCUGAUAAUCAACUACCAACAAUUCAUAGGCCCAUAUCGGUCCCAGAGCUAGAGGUCCGGCUUAUUUCUCAUCUUUUGACCGGUUUGGCUCCAUGCAUUAGCCGCGAGGUCUAUCUCGCGCAUCCUUACUCAUUUCACGAUGCCUUUUUUGUAGCCAUGCAAGCAGAGUGACGAUUUAUAACUAGAGUUCGCAAUGACCCUCCUCCCAGUCCUCUUCACAGUUGCACCGCUUCCACAUCCGCAACUGAUUCGAGCUAUUCCGCGGAGGAAGUGCGACCAACGUGGCCAGCGAGCUGAUAAAAUUUCUGUCAUUUUUGUUUCAUUUUUUUUUGUCUUUGUGCAUUCCGUGGGUGCUCCGUGUUGUUCACUGAUGACUUCUCCUUUUUCGCCCCUGUAGUGUUGGAGAUAGAAUAAACCUACCUUGAACCUGC